AGCAGCCGCGGUAAUUCCAGCUCCAAUAGCGUAUAUUAAAGUUGUUGCAGUUAAAAAGCUCGUAGUUGAAUUUCGGGAUUCUUCCGUUGGUCGGGCUAUCCAGUCUGUACUAGCGUGUAGAAUUUCUACCUUCUGGGGAACCAUCAUGUUAUUAAUUUAGCGUGGUGGGAAACCAGAACCUUUACCUUGAAAAAUUAGAGUGUUCAAAGCAGGCUUACGUCUGAAUACAUUAGCAUGGAAUAAUAGAAUAGGACGGUGGUCCUGUUUUGUUGGUUUCUGAAUCACCGUAAUGAUUAAUAGGGAUAGUUGGGGGCAUUAGUAUUCAAUUGUCAGAGGUGAAAUCCUUGGAUUUAUUGAAGACUAACUUCUGCGAAAGCAUUUGCCAAGGAUGUUUUCAUUAAUCAAGAACGAAGGUUAGGGGAUCGAAGACGAUCAGAUACCGUCGUAGUC
rnacentral:rRNA from 1 species